rnacentral:rRNA from 1 species
UGGGGAAUAUUGGACAAUGGGCGCAAGCCUGAUCCAGCAAUGCCGCGUGUGUGAAGAAGGCCUGCGGGUUGUAAAGCACUUUAAGCAGGAAAGAAGGCUUCGGAGCUAAUAUCUUCGAAGAUUGACGUUACCUGCAGAAUAAGCACCGGCUAACUCCGUGCCAGCAGCCGCGGUAAUACGGAGGGUGCGAGCGUUAAUCGGAAUUACUGGGCGUAAAGCGCGCGUAGGCGGUUUGCUAAGUCCGCUGUGAAAGCCCUGGGCUUAACCUGGGAACUGCAGUGGAUACUGGCAGGCUAGAGUAUGGUAGAGGAGAGUGGAAUUUCCGGUGUAGCAGUGAAAUGCGUAGAGAUCGGAAGGAACACCAGUGGCGAAGGCGGCUCUCUGGACCAAUACUGACGCUGAGGUGCGAAAGCGUGGGGAGCAAACAGG